AGUCAUAGACUGGUCUCUCUGCUACCACACGGAAAGCAGCACUGGAGCGCCAAGUCUAGGUCUAAAAGGCUUCUUUCACGACACACUUUGAACUUUAGCCUCUUUGAAUCACCUCUCUGUUUCCCUCUCUCUCUCUCUCUCUCUCGUAGGCUUCAAAUCCUCUCCUGAUGCCAUUACCUACAAAGAGAAGGAGAAUCUUAUCAUCAGUGCUGUAGAGUUUGAAGAAGCUGGGCUUCCUUAAGCCACAGGCAAAGAGAUUGACAUGCUUUUGGAGCAGCAGGACCAAUUCCAUGAUGCCUCAGGUGUUGAUAAACCUCCUUACCCAGAAACUCCUCUACAGCUCCCCCUCUGGCUGUGAGUAUUAUAGCUCCUCUCUACAGCGCCCCCUCUGGAUGUGAGUACUAUAGCUCCUCUCUACAGCACCCAAUCUGAAUGUGAGUAUUAUAGCUCCUCUACAGCGCCCCCUCUGGCUGUGAGUAUUAUAGCUCCUCUCUACAGCACCCAAUCUGAAUGUGAGUAUUAAAUCAAAUCAAAUCAAAUCAAAUUUUAUUUGUCACAUACACAUGGUUAGCAGAUGUUAA